rfam:Cryptosporangium arvum DSM 44712 genomic scaffold CryarDRAFT_CAH.1, whole genome shotgun sequence.
CAGGAAGACCGGUGAGAAUCCGGCGCGGUCCCGCCACUGUCACCGGGGAGCCGACCUCACUCAACGGUCACGGCCGGUAACGGCUGGAAGGCCGAGGACACGCUUCGAUCCGGGAGCCAGGACACUG